rnacentral:rRNA from 1 species
UCGAGCGAACAGACGAGGAGCUUGCUCCUCUGACGUUAGCGGCGGACGGGUGAGUAACACGUGGAUAACCUACCUAUAAGACUGGGAUAACUUCGGGAAACCGGAGCUAAUACCGGAUAAUAUAUUGAACCGCAUGGUUCAAUAGUGAAAGACGGUUUUGCUGUCACUUAUAGAUGGAUCCGCGCCGCAUUAGCUAGUUGGUAAGGUAACGGCUUACCAAGGCAACGAUGCGUAGCCGACCUGAGAGGGUGAUCGGCCACACUGGAACUGAGACACGGUCCAGACUCCUACGGGAGGCAGCAGUAGGGAAUCUUCCGCAAUGGGCGAAAGCCUGACGGAGCAACGCCGCGUGAGUGAUGAAGGUCUUCGGAUCGUAAAACUCUGUUAUCAGGGAAGAACAAAUGUGUAAGUAACUGCGCACAUCUUGACGGUACCUGAUCAGAAAGCCACGGCUAACUACGUGCCAGCAGCCGCGGUAAUACGUAGGUGGCAAGCGUUAUCCGGAAUUAUUGGGCGUAAAGCGCGCGUAGGCGGUUUUUUAAGUCUGAUGUGAAAGCCCACGGCUCAACCGUGGAGGGUCAUUGGAAACUGGAAAACUUGAGUGCAGAAGAGGAAAGUGGAUUCCAUGUGUAGCGGUGAAAUGCGCAGAGAUAUGGAGGAACACCAGUGGCGAAGGCGACUUUCUGGUCUGUAAC